rnacentral:rRNA from 1 species
CAUGAACGCUGGCGGCGUGCUUAACACAUGCAAGUCGAACGAAGCACUUAUCUUUGAUUCUUCGGAUGAAGAGGUUUGUGACUGAGUGGCGGACGGGUGAGUAACGCGUGGGUAACCUGCCUCAUACAGGGGGAUAACAGUUAGAAAUGACUGCUAAUACCGCAUAAGACAACAGAGCAGCAUAGCUCAGUGGGAAAAACUACGGUGGUAUGAGAUGGACCCGCGUCAGAUUAGGUAGUUGGUGGGGUAACGGCCUACCAAGCCAACGAUCAACAGCCGACCUGAGCGGCUGAACGGCAACAUUGGUACUGAGACACGGCCAAAACGCCUACGGGAGGCAGCAGUGGGGAAUAUUGCACAAUGGGGGAAGCCCUGAUGCAGCGACGCCGCGUGAGCGAAGAAGUAUUUCGGUAUGUAAAGCUCUAUCAGCAGGGAAGAAAAUGACGGUACCUGACUAAGAAGCACCGGCUAAAUACGUGCCAGCCGCCGCCGUAACAC